rnacentral:sRNA from 1 species
AUGAUUGCUGUGCGCGCAAUGGCAUGUAAAUCUGUUGGCCAAAGCAAGAAAAAGAAAAAGGGGAUUUUGCUGCUCUUGCGGCUGAUGUGAAAAAUAAGUUAACACACAAAUUAAACCCUCUUUUUAUCAAUUGUAGUAAAGUAUGUAAGUAGGGAUCGUUCUAGGCCGGGGAUUAGGAGGGAUUGCUAAAUCACUUGGAAACUGACUUGAAAACGUAAAAACAAAGUUUAAAACACUAACUAGACUCAAAGAAUGCAAAACUAUACUUUAAAACACUAAAACAAACCAAAAGACUCAAAACAGCCCCUAAACACUCAAAACUACCUUAAACACACAAUCUGGGCAGUUUUGGGACUCUAACACAAACUUGGACGAAUUUUGGUUUUCUAAUGAACUAAAACACUUAAAAACAUAAUCUAAGACAAGUUCUAAUUAAUAUGACUCAAAGAAAUAAGAUGGGGUUGAUUUUGGACGAAAAUAAUUAAAUUAAGACAAGAACAAAGUAAACAAAUUCUUAGACAAAUUUAAGUGAAUCAAAACAGAUUGUAAAAUGAAUUUGAAUGAAACUUAUGGAUGGAAGGCUAGCUAGGAGGUUCUUCUCCACACAUGUCACACUUGCAUACAAAACGAUUUCCAGUUGCUUUUCGAUAAGCUAUGAAUACUCAACGCCCCAAAUUAACCGUGAAUUGCACUAAUUAACCCUCAGUUUUUCAACAAGUUAUUGGAUUGGAUGAUUGCAUACGACAACCCAAAACAUUCCUUACAAGUUCCCUACAUGAAUUGCAUAAUAGAGAUACAAGCAAGAAUCAUUAAGUUCUAUGA